GGGGGGGCCCACACCGGUAGCCAUACCUCUAGUAAUGUGCCCAAAUUGUUCCCUUAGUUGCCGGCCACCAUCCAGCGAUGCAGCAGCCCUGAGGGACACCAGGAUCACCUCAACAUCCAUCACCUCAAGCUGUGAAGGACAAGGAGCAGGCAAACAGGAGCAGGAGGACAAGAAAAGCUGUUUGCUGGCCCGGAUCCCAAGUGUCACUGAGGUACCUCCCCCCCCACUAACUCAC